rnacentral:ncRNA from 2 species
CUCUUAUCAAGAGUGGUGGAGGGACUGGCCCGAUGAAACCCGGCAACCGGCACGUAAGUGCUUGGUGCCAAUUCCUGCAGGUUGGGGUUACCCAGCCUGAGAGAUGAGAG